rnacentral:lncRNA from 1 species
CUAUUAGUAACAUGGGACCUGGCUGACAUGAACUAUCCUAGGAAACUAUUUAAUUGUAAGAAGGAAACCAAGAUACAAACUGCUAUGUACUUUCUAGCUGAAAUUAUCAGCAAGUGACAAAUUUCAAAUUUGAUUUACUUGAAGUUUUUGACACAUCAUUUGAACCUCUUCAUCUAAUCAUUGUUGGUGCAGAGCACAGAGGACAGUCCUGAGCUGGUGUUCAUAUUGGUUCUCCAAUUCCUAGAGGCUCCUAAGCAUGCAAUCCAAUUCUCUCUCAGGAUUGCUGGUUUGUUCUUGCAGUCGAUCUGGAGCUGAAAUUCAUAGUGCAAGCCUCCGCAUGCUGCUCUGUCCGGAGCUGAAGCCAAGUGCAAUGCAAUAAAAUAGAAUGAAAUAAGAGCCUUCCUUGGGCCAGUCAUGACAAUCUGCCAUGAUUCAAUUCUGGGCACUUAAGGUCCAAAAGACAGAAAGAAAAAGGGUUCCAGGUCAUUGUGAUGUAUUUUAUUUUUGUUCCAUAGAAUAAAUAGUUCCACCAAAAAGACACACACACUUGCAUGUUCAUUGCUGUGCUAUUCACAAUAGCAAAGACAUGGAAUCAACCUAGGUGCCCAUCGGUAGUAUACUGGAUGAAGGAAAUGUGGUACAUAUACACCAUGGAAUAUGACACAGCCAUAAAAAGAAUAUCAUGUCCUUUGCAAGAAAAUGGAUGGAACUGGAGGCCGAAUCCUAAGUGAAUUAAAGCAAAAUCAGAAAACCAAAUACCGCAUGUUCUUACCUUUUUAAAAAAUUUUUUGAAAAUAUAUACAGAGGAUUUAAAUAAAGCAUUUAACAAGAUAUAUUAUUAUUUGGUUUCCCUUAAAGAAGGCAUGAUAUUUUCAAAUAACCAUAGACUAUUUAGAAUCAGGCAGUAGCUCAUAAAUAAAAUUUUAAUUACAUAAGAAAAAAAUAGAUAUUUUAGAGACCCCCAAAUCUGACCAAAACAUAGUACAAACAACAAUGAAACCAUUUAAAACCAACUUUAAGAUAUCCAAUCAAAAAAUCUAACAACUAGGAAAUUUUAAGACAAUUUCUUAGGUUAAAGAAUAAGCCAUGAUUGAAAUGUCAUGUAUUUAGAAACUAUCUGCAAUGUGAAAAAGGUAACAAAUACAA